GCCGGGCACGGUGGCUCAUGCCUGUAAUCCCAGCUCUCUGGGAGGCUGAGGUGGGAGGAUCGCUUGAGCCCAGGAGUUUGAGACCAGCCUGGCCAACAUAGUGAGAUCCCGUCUCUA
ensembl:misc_RNA Metazoa_SRP Metazoan signal recognition particle RNA